CCUACGGGCGGCUGCAGUGGGGAAUAUUGGGCAAUGGGCGAAAGCCUGACCCAGCAACGCCGCGUGCACGAUGAAGGCCUUCGGGUCGUAAAGUGCUUUUCUGAGGAAUGAGUAAGGACAGUACCUCAGGAAUAAGCCUCGGCUAACUACGUGCCAGCAGCCGCGGUAAAACGUAGGAGGCGAGCGUUAUCCGGAUUUACUGGGCGUAAAGCGUGUGUAGGCGGUUCGGCAAGUUGGAUGUGAAAGCUCCUGGCUUAACUAGGAGAGGUCGUUCAAUACUACCGAACUUGAGGGCAUCAGAGGAAGGUGGAAUUCCCGGUGUAGUGGUGAAAUGCGUAGAUAUCGGGAGGAACACCAGUGGCGAAAGCGGCCUUCUGGGAUGUUCCUGACGCUCAGACACGAAAGCUAGGGUAGCGAACGGGCUUAGAUACCCGUGUAGUC
rnacentral:rRNA from 1 species